UACGUAGGGGGCUAGCGUUGUCCGGAAUCAUUGGGCGUAAAGCGCGUGUAGGCGGUCCGGUAAGUCCGCUGUGAAAGUCGGGGGCUCAACCCUGGGAUGCCGGUGGAUACUGUCGGGCUCGAGUCCGGAAGAGGAGUGUGGAAUUCCUGGUGUAGCGGUGAAAUGCGCAGAUAUCAGGAGGAACACCAAUGGCGAAGGCAGCACUCUGGGACGUGACUGACGCUGAGACGCGAAAGCGUGGGGAGCAAACAGG
rnacentral:rRNA from 1 species